UCUAUGACACAUAUUUAUAUUAGCUAAACUGUUAUUGAACAUAGGACUACACAGUAUUAAAAGACUCUUCUCCCAAGGAAAUUUGCAGCUGUGGACUUUCUCUAGAUAACUCUUGUACCAGAAAUAUUUUCCUGCUUCUUGGAACAAGGAAUAUAGGAUGUCUUGAUUUCAACAAAGUGUCAUUGGAAUAGUUGUUCUAAGAUGUUAAGCAGUAGAAACCUAAAGUUGGAGGACGAUACAUUUGUUUCCCAUUAAUAGUUUUGAAAAAAAAAUGGUUAUUUAUCACAGAGUCAGAGAACAAUGUGUGGAAUCUGACAUACUAACCCUUGAAACCCCAGCUGCUCUUUUGCUUCAUUAAAGGUCUCUUCUCAGUUUACGUGGCGGAUGCCCCACUAUUUGACCCAGCAAUCUUUACUGAAGGUCUUCCAGUGCCGGGAAUUUGUUAUGCAUGCAAAUACUCAACAAGGCAUUAGGUUGAACGGUGGAGAGAAAUGAUGUUCGCGAAGAUGGGCAAUUCAAGAAUCAAGUAGAAACGGAGUGCCCAUUGUUUAAAGGCUUAGAGAAUCGACAAAUGGUAUUACUGACCCAUAGUGACAUCGUAGACAAGGUUGCAGUAUAGGGCUGCGUUGCGUGGAAAAAUGUUCGCGUCAUAUUAUUUCCGCUAUUGUUGAUACUGAACGCCGUCUUUACGGAGUCUAGUUCCAUGAUUUGAUUGAAAACGGAAGAAAAAUGUUGCAUAACUUCUUGUUCGACAUCUGUGGAUUGCAAGGAGUUUUCACAUUGAAGAAACGCGAGCAGCAGUGUAUCAACUGCAUCCGGCGUAUGGUCGGACCGGGUCGGACUCGGACGUGAUAAGAUCGUGCUCAUGUUGGUAUGCGGCGGAGUCGUUUCCGUCGUUUGUGCUGCCCUUCUCCAUAAAGCACUUCUACAGGGUGACGACUCGUCGGAGGUGCAGGACAUCCAUAUCGAAAACGGAUUCCUGCGUAAAGACGAAUCUGAGCAGGUCGUCACUAGUUUUCAGAAACUCUGGCUUAUUCUUCGGGUGAUUUUAGAUACCUUUCUGGACCGUUCAGAAUGUUAUAAUUGGCCAUAACUUGAUACGAGAGUAAUUGAUACGUCGUCCUGUCACAUCUCAAAUUCUAUGGUUUAUAAUUCUUGUUCUAUGACCGAGUUCCUUUACAGACAGUGGCUUCUCAUUUCUUCUUCAUACUAGCGAUCAGAUUUAAUGUUUUGAAUCGUAUUGGGUUCUUCAAUCAAGUUUGACUUUCUACGAUGCUUCCACCAACGUGCAUGGACUUUGUCGUUGUGUCGGACUGUUAAUCCCGAAGAAAAACGUCGAAUUAUUGGCGAUACGUUUGUCGAAGUGGCGGAUGGAAUGGCUAACGAUUUAAAUCUCACUUGGGAUAAUCUACUUCUCGAACAAGGUUGUUGCAGCUUUUAUUCCCUGUUUUUCUUGCUAUCAACAGUUACUGGCUGACCCUACGAGCAACGACAGUUUUAGCUACAAAUGUUUAGCGCCUCGUCUUGCAACUAGUAGUUGAUAUUUUAGGUUUUUAAAUUUAAAAUUUGAAUCAACUGUCUGAGGCGGAAAAACCAGAUGUCGUUAGUCGGCAGCCGGGGCAGUGGGGGGCGCUAACGUCUGCUAACGUCAAAAUUGUCUAAUUUUCCUCCGUCAGGUAAGGACUAAGGAGUAGUAUGUACUAAUAUUAUAGUGUUUCAUUCCCGUUGUUUCUUUUUCCUCUAAGUGUCUUCUUAGUUAGAUUGUUCCUCUUAAUUAGACUUGCAGUUACUUGUCUCAUCAUUCUCGAUUAACACAACGACAACAUUUUGUGCUGCACGUUUCUUCGCUGUUGUAUUGUCCUUUGUAUAGAGCGUAAGUCCUUCUAAUAGACCAACAUAUCUGCGAGCAAGGAUCUGCUUAGGGACAGUGAGAUAUCAGCAAAUACAACAACGGAACCAUAUCCAAAUUUAGCACAAAACUUGUACAGCUGUGAUACUUCCCAAACACCUAUGCAGUUUGGAAUGCUUGUCGGGUGAAUGCGGAUUAAUAUAAAAGAUGCUAAAUGUGAGACAUGUGGAAAAGGCCUGAUAGAAUAUGUGUGGGCCACUUCAUUUAUAUAGAUGGGAACAAACAAUUUUUAAUGUUUGCUACACUAAGGCAGUAAUAACUGUGCUGCAAACAAUCUGCAAAACAUGGUUGUCUGUUCAUCUCAGUGAUGAGAUGGCAAAUUUAGCAAGUAAAUCUGACUAAGAAAGCAUUGAAGGAAGCAAAUCUGAGAAGUGUCCCUAAAAGUAACUUGUCCCAGUGAGAUGAUCAUGGCAAUCCAUCAUUUGUUUUAAAGAUUUUUUAAAUGAAGUUACAACAUAGAAAGUUGGGCACUUUUUACAGUAGAAAACCGUUUGGGGUGCGCCAUUUAUAUAAAUGACUAAAGAUUUAUCAUUUUGCAGGUAUGGAAACAGUAAGCAUCAUACAGGGAGCUCCUAUGUAUGAAAGGAAUUUCUUCAAUAUCAAUAUUGGGAUAAAUGACUUUGUUUCUCAUCAUCUUUCAAGAUAAAGGAAACCAUGAACGCCUCAAAGACCACAAGUAGUCAAGUACACCUGUUACCUCUACCCGGUUCCUAAUCCAUGAUUGCCUGGAAUAUAGAAAAAACAAUGCUUGGAAAAGUAAAUGUUACAGUUGCCAACCGCAAUAGUUUCGCACUGUAAUAAAAUAUCAGUCAGUGACUCAGUGCCGCCAACGUGAUACAAAGUCAUUCAACUCUUAACAUCAAACCUGUUGAGAAGGAUGCCUCAGGCUGGGCACUAUUACUCCUAUUGAAAAUGAAUGGACACAAGUAAAAAGUUUAGAAGAAACUUUUAUUGAAUCACCUUGCAACCUCUUACUUUCAUUUGAGAGUAAUUCAACACUCAUGCAGCUCAUAUACAUAUAGACAUCUUAAAAACAUAUUUUAGGAUAUGCAAACUAUGGCACUAAGUUAAUGUCUCCAUACUUCGCAUGUUUGUCGCAUGUGAAAAAGAAUGAAAAUGGAAUGUGAUGCCUAGGUAGCAUAAUAAGGUCGUAGGGUAGUCUGAUGGUAGUAUUUUGUUCUAAGAAAGUUGAAUGUCUGUUGUGAAGGUUUAUCAGAUAGUUGUACUGACACAACCUUUCUUUUUUAGAACCAGAUACAUUUAGCAGCGACAAUUCGGAAUGGUGAGGUGCGAAUGAUUCGGAUUAAAAGUCAGCGUGGAAAUGCAAUAGCUGGCAAGAAAUGGAAGGACGAUUGGUGAUGAGACAAUUUAUUCUAAUCGCUGUAACUCAUGGACACGUCGACAUUCGUGCUAAUCAAACUUAGAAUGUCUGCAAUACGAAAUUUUUCACCAUUUCAAAGGAAAGCUGCAAACAUAUUUUCAGCAUUUUAUUUUAUUCUUGCGAAAUUGCAUCCUCACUAGACUGACCGGACCGACCCUACUUUUUCUGAGAUUUCUCCCCACAGAUGGCGGGGCGUUAUUUCGGGGUGUCGGCACUAAUCUCUUCGUUCGUUUUCUUUUUCUUCCUUUCUUUUUCGACGCUGUGCUGCUGAUAUUGGAUUCAUUUUGUAGGGGAAAUAACGGAGCAGCCCGCGGUCGAGUCCUCGUUUUUAUCGGCUGAACGACAAAAGAGUGCGGAGCAGUUUAGUCGGCAAACUCGAGUCAAUUUUGGGGUUCUCGUAUGAAUGCUUUGCGCGUUUUCUUAUUUUAGAUGCUGUGUCGCAAAAAUUUAUGUUAUCUUUUAGAGGAGAUAACGCCAUGAUUCCCGAAGAGGUAGUGCCAAAUUAUCGGCUCAACGAUAAAGGAAUGCGGAGCAAUCUAAGAGCGACUCGAGUUUCUGCCAAUUUCUAUACCGAGAGGUGGCGCGUCGGUCGUGAAGAUAGGGGAAAUCAGGCCGCGAAGUUAUUGUUUAAGGCGGACGCCACCUGCAUCACCUGGUAACGGACUUCAUUUUUAAGGCCGUGAACACCCGGCAACGGACUUCAUUUUAAAGGCCGUUUAUACCUAGCAACGGACUUCAUUUUAAAGGUCGUUAAUUCCUGGAUACCUGGCAACGGACUUCAUUUUAAAGGCCGUUUAUACCUGGCAACGGACUUCAUUUAAAGGCCGUUUAUACCUGGCAACGGACUUCAUUUAAAGGCCGUUUAUACCUGGCAACGGACUUCACUUUAAAGGCCGUUUAUACCUGGCAACGGACUUCACUAGGGCACUCACUCCGUUCGCGAAGUUCCCGAUAGGGUCCGGCCUGGUCGCCAUAAAAUCCCGGAAACCGUAUGCCCUUCCGUCAAAAUUGGCGUUCCGUACUUAAGGUUACUAGGCGAGGAAUAGACAAUGAAUAACAGCCAAGGACUAUGAAUUUCUUUUGUUUCUUUCUUUUGUUUCCCGUUACUAGUCUUGUAAAACAAAUGGUAAGUUGGUAAAAUGAAAGAACAUGUUACAUAUUACUUUAAAUAAAUUGAUUUCAAAAGUGGAGAUCGAUUCCAAAUCUUCUGCUUCCCAGGCAGACACCCAUCCACAAAGCCAUGGGUGAUAGAUGAUAUUCACAGUGGGCAUACUUGCGUUGUAAAUUAGUAUCACUUUUACAAAGCCAAACAGGAGAUUUAGAUCAACUGUCUACUGUGAAAGCGAUUAUGUGUCUCUAUGAAAAUGGCUCUCUCCGUUUGCAACAUCAAACCUCCCCAGUGUGUCAUUCUAAUGCAGAACUCUUGAAAUCAAGUUGAAUGUUUUGAACCAUCUCAGGAGUCAGGACAAAGCUGAAUUUCUAGAGGUAUUAGAAAAGUUGAUAAAGACAUCCUAUCCUUGACAUUCCAUCCUAAAUGGAACAGCUGACACUUCCCGUAUAUUUUAAAGACAUCUAGGGGAGAAAUAACUAACUCCGUAGAAUUUUUAUGGGUAUGUCAGCUGUCCCGUCAGCUGUUUUAUUUUUCGUGGUUUCGGACUGAGUAUGGCUGCUGAAACGAACGUCUCUCUUCUUCAAAUUUUACCACAGAUUCAGUGUGUUUUGAGUUGCAUCUUGUGAAUUCAAUCAAUGCACAGUUGUUCAAGGAGUAAUAUGGCUUGGCUAUGCUAGCACGUUUUUUUAUCUCCGUUAGUCUGAUAUACCCAUUUUGUUGCAAAGGUGAUAUGAAAAAAGAGUAGUUCUUUAUAAUCUUUUUCUCUAUCUAAAUCUCUUAGAUUCUUGGAGGUGUCAUCAGGUAAUGUUAGAAUUUAUUGUUAAUAGUUUAAGUUUUUUAAAAUCAUGCUUUCAGGUCUUUGGGGUGUACCUGAUGUACUGUGGUGGCUGCAAAAUCAUUCAAUGACUUGGUUCAAUCCAGGACUUGGCUUUUUUAAUAGUCGUUUACAGUUUUUAUUUGCAGAGAUCCUGGAGGCCCCUGAUGUGUUUCAUUGACGUUGGAGUUACUCAGUUGCAGAAGAGAAUGCCACUAAUGUUAUGUUGUCAGUGUAAAUAAAACAUAUCCAGCAUCA